rnacentral:tRNA from 2 species
GGGCGGUUAGCUCAGCUGGUUAGAGCGCCUGCCUUACAAGCAGGAGGUCACUGGUUCGAGUCCAGUAUCGCCCACCA